rnacentral:rRNA from 1 species
UACAGAGGGGGCAAGCGUUGUUCGGAAUUACUGGGCGUAAAGAGCGCGUAGGCGGCUUUAUAAGUCGGGGGUGAAAGCCUGUGGCUCAACCACAGAAUUGCCUUCGAUACUGUAGAGCUUGAGACCGGAAGAGGUAAGUGGAACUGCGAGUGUAGAGGUGAAAUUCGUAGAUAUUCGCAAGAACACCAGUGGCGAAGGCGGCUUACUGGUCCGGUUCUGACGCUGAGGCGCGAAAGCGUGGGGAGCAAACAGG